rnacentral:rRNA from 1 species
AACAUCUAAGUACCCCGAGGAAAAGAAAUCAACCGAGAUUCCGAAAGUAGCGGCGAGCGAAAUUGGACUAGCCCUUAAGCUUUACACGCGUUAGACGAACGGUCUGGAAAGGCCGACGAUACAGGGUGAUAGUCCCGUAGUUGACGACGUGUGUUCAGUGAAAUCGAGUAGGGCGGGACACGUGAUAUCCUGUCUGAAUAUGGGGGGACCAUCC